AUGGACGCCUCGGGUGUCUGGGUCCCCAGCCAUAGUUUCGGGCAACCUAGGCUUCAGGUACAGCGACGGACGCGCGUCCAUCCCGGAGCAGACGCAGCGACCCCGAUCCGGACCCACCCCGGCUCUAGCUUCCACAGGGGCUGCGGGUCCUGAGUCUCAAACAUGAAACGCGCAGGACCUUUUUUAAAAACGAGUAGUUACCUCCUGCUCCAGCCAAACAAAGGUUGAAUAAAUAUUUAAAGUCUUACGAGCAAAGGGCUGUGUAUCGUGUGCCGUUUGGGUGGUGCAAGACCCACAGAAUCUUCCAGAAGCAAAAGCCGUAGAGAAGUCCUGUGCAGUGUUGACACAGGUCGCAGCAUUAACCACGUGACUGUCAGCUGACCGUUAUGCAGAUGAGUUCUCAUCAUUAGCAAGAGCAUCCAUGAUGGGUUGGGAAAGGAUUACUAUAUAGAAAUGUCAUCUUGACUGUGGUGUCUGCAGCUGUUUUGUUUUGUGUGGGUUGGUCUUUUUGUUGUUGUUGUUCUCGUUUUGUUUUGGCUUGGUUUGGUUUUUUUGCAGCUGUAUAUUUUUGGAGGAAACUGGAAGGACACAACACGCUGGUUGUAGGAGAUGGGUUGUGAGAGGACAGUGAAAAAGAGAAGAUGGGCACAAAGAUGGUGACUGGGUACAAUGGAUGGAGCCACUGCCCUCUUUCUAGCUGCCCAAGGAGGUUACUCGGAUGCCAUAGGAUUAUUGUUGUCUUCAGGAGCAGAAGUCAACCAACCAAGGCAGAAAGGCUACGAAAGGCUACUGACAUCACAAUGCUGGAUCUGGAGUGUUUGGUGUCUGAGAUCAAGUAUACAUUCUGCCACCUCCUGUUCAAAUAAAUUAUGGCUGUACUGCAGUAAUAAGUGCUGGCCAGCCUGGGACACGGGUAAAUAGAGGCAAGUCCUUGCCCAGUCCCCGGCUGAUAUGCUUCCUUAUCUCCUCCUGAUAUAGGGGAAAUAGUUUUAACUCCCAAAUCGACUAGAUGUCUGAUGCACCAAGUUCAUGUUCCCAAAAUCAAAGAAUGAAUUCUGAGGAAAAACUGAGGUUAAGAGUAGGAAAUUUUAUUGAAGGAAAGACAACUCUUGAGAGAGAUAGGAGGGGACCCAGAAAGUGGGUUGCCAAGAGAAGUCGUUAUUCUUGACAUUAUACAAAUGAAAAGUAUUGAGAGAUUUAGUAACCACAUUUUCUAAUUUCUUUCUUUGAUAUCUUGGUCCUUGCUGACACUAGAGGGACGGCCUUCCCCCAGGCCUAGUGAUAGCAACAAACUUUUGAGCAUAGGCAAACCAGCCAAUCCUGACUCCAUACUGCAACCACCUCCUUCCUUGGGCUCUUGCAGCCUGGACCAUUAUUCCCUGUCCUCUUCAUCCCAGACCAUUAGGAAGAGCUCUCUAUGUCCCAGAGGUUGCUGAAGUCAUUCCAGCCAGCCUACCCUAAGCAUUCUUACCUUGUGCUCUUUACCACAGAAACCACACUAAAGGCUCUUGCCCACAUUUCUCCCUCCUCCCUUUGCCUUCUGACUCACCUUGGUGCCUGCCUGUGUGGCCCUGCAUGCCAUGUUGUGCCAUCUGUUUCUAAGGAUUUGUAUUAAAACUUCUUUCCUGACAGUCACAUGCCUGUGUGCCCUGGCUUACUGAUUAAAAUGAAUCCUAAGC